UCGUACAGAGUGGAGACAACCGCGGCGUCUGCUACGGCGUUGGCCACGCGAAUCGCGGACGCCGUAGUAUACGCCUUUGGGGGACGCCAUAGAGUUUCAUAUUAGUAUACCUAGAGGGAAAUCUGGCGCUGCGAUCGUUCAACCAUCAUGGGAAUGAACCUGAACAUCGCCCCCGAGUGCUCCGUGAUCGCUGCGCAUGCGUGAGGUGAGAGAAGGUGAGAAAGGAGAACAACUCUUUUUCGCAGGAUGUGACGUCACAUUGUUGCUUGUUUUUACUUUUUUGAAAGAGCUACUCUCGAACGUAGAUUAGCCAUUGCCGUCGUGUCGGCUGCAAGACGUUCUGAGCGCGCUUGGCGCGCUUUUGUGCGUGUCGAAAGCGUAUAACGUGCGCGAUAUUCGUGCGAGAGCUGUUUGACUUGAGCAAUCGUGGGUUUGGACUCCGUGACAUUUGCUUUCGUCAUAUGCGAGUUAGGGGCUUGCCGACAGGUAAACCGCCGCUGUACUUAGAUGAGUUGAGAUUUACACAUCAAUGCCAGCUCACAAAGCAU